ACCCUUUUAGGGUAUAAGGCUCGUUGAAGACUACAACGUUGAUAGGCCAUAGGUGUAAGUGUGGUAACACAUUCAGCCGAGUGGUACUAAUAAGCCGAACGGCUUUACUAAUUUUU
rnacentral:rRNA from 1 species